UGGAAGUAAAAGUCGUAACAAGGUUUCCGUAGGUGAACCUGCGGAAGGAUCAUUACAGUGUCGGCACGGCGGCUCUCGGGCCGCCCGCUACUGACCACCCUUGUCUACCUAACCACUGUUGCUUCGGCAGGCCGGCCGCUCAAGCUUCCUGAGCUUGGGCGACCACCUGGGGUCCGGCUUGACCGCCGCCCGGGGCAGUGCCUGCCGGAGGAUUAGUUGAAACUCUUUGCUGAUCAGUGACAAUUCUGAGUCUUUACUUAAUUGUUAAAACUUUCAACAACGGAUCUCUUGGUUCCAGCAUCGAUGAAGAACGCAGCGAAAUGCGAUAAGUAAUGUGAAUUGCAGAAUUCCGUGAAUCAUCGAAUCUUUGAACGCACAUUGCGCCCUCUGGUAUUCCGGGGGGCAUGCCUGUCCGAGCGUCAUUGACACAAAUCAAGCGCGGCUUGUGUGUUGGGCCCUCGUCCCCUCCAAGGGACGUGCCCGAAACGCAGCGGCGGCGUCGCGGUUAUCCGACCAGCCAGAGUGUAUGGGGCUUUGUCACGCACUUCAGGCUCAGGACCGGCGCCAGUCGACCUCACUGAAAUAUCAAGGUUGACCUCGGAUCAGGUAAGGAUACCCGCUGAACUUAAGCAUAUCAAUAAGCGGAGGA
rnacentral:misc_RNA from 1 species